rnacentral:lncRNA from 12 species
AUGUGUGUGUGGGGGGGGACCAGUUACAGUGACCCCCUAGAGGGACCCCCCCAUUCUGGUCAUCUCUGGACUUCCCAAAGGGGGGGGUCUAGUGGCAGCAUAGGGGAAAGAGGAAGCGAGUUGGGGUCUCCACCCCCAACUUCUAAUGUGAGCAGUGUGCUCAGGUGUUGGGGGCCCCGGGACAGAGGCAUGGAGACACCCGACGGCUUGACGGGUCCAGAGUGCACCAGGUGCAGGCUGCAGGGAGGUGAGUGUGGGCAGGGGCGCAGCACCCGAGCACCGAGCACCCGUGUCCGGGCGCAGGGCUGCAGAGAACACGCCCCCCCAGUUGGACGGGAGGGCGGGCUGGAGGCGGAGGCUCCCCCGCGGGCUGAGCCGGCGGCCAGGCUGACUUCACAGGCGCCCUUCCUCCCCCUUCCUCCUCCCAGGGCAGCUGCGGGCCCGGGGACCAGGGUGGGACUUCAGCCCCGCCGCACGCCAGCUGGCACGCAGCCCCGCCGGCACCGGAGCCCCGACAGCGCAGCGGCUCCAUCACCCCGAGCCCCACCUCCCGCGACGGGGCCCUGGAACCUGAUGCCCAAGACUCUGGAUGUUGCCUCACUCUCCAUUGGGUCCUCCAGCCAAGGCCGCCGCGGUGCUCCUUUGGCCCUCCCUCCAGUACCUGCCUGGAGACCUGCACUCGUUGGCUCCCCCCGGCUCUCCCCCACCUGUCAGGACGGGGUUACCUGCCUGCUUCCAAGAACUGGCACCUGAGGCUUCCGUCCAUUGUCUACGGCCAAGAUCAAAACCAAACCAAACCAGUCCCCUGCUCCUGUCUGAAAUUGGUGAAUGGUUGGCGGGGAGGGGGACAUCCCCACCCGUGAGGCUCAGCUUCACUGGGAAAGGGACUUUCCUUAGAAGGAACCAGGGCGUCUUGUAUCAGCUCUUAAUGAUUUGGGAAGGGAAGCUGAAGAGCUCUUUACUGUAAUCCGAACGGCUAAAUUAUUCAUCAAGAACAGCAGGCAGAGAUUGGACAGUGACCUGAGAGACAAGAGGCCCCAGCCCAGUCCGUGACCCGCACGGGACCGUCCCCCCCUGCUCCUGAGGGGCCGGGCCCAGUGAGAGACGUCUGGGGACCCCAGGGUGGGGAGAGCGCCACUCCAGCCGGGAGAUGGGGGGAGACACUGAAUCAAAGGGUUCUGGCCACGUAGGGAGCCACAGUGAGAGGGGGCCCUGGCCCCUCGGGGACUAGUCCUGGUGCAGGGGUCGCUCCUGCUCUGGCCAGGUGGUCCCCAGACCACAGCAGGCUGGCCCUGCCUGAGAGGCCAGAUUUCAAGAUGCCUCCCCCCACCCCCACUCCGCCUUCUCCCUUUUGCAGCCUCCAGUCUUCCGGUGGGAGGGGGCACGGCCAGAGUCCUGUCCAAGGUUCGGGCCUGGCCUCCCCUCGCCCCAGGAGGCUCAGGGGAGGGAGGCAGGGAACAGGUGGACCGCAGAUCUCCUCUGCAAAUGCAAAACACAGCCCGGCUCUGGCUCCAGGGCCCUUCACCUCUGCACUGGGCACGGAGGGAGCGCAGGGAGCAAUCCUCGCCCCAGCUCCCCUGCCCUGCGCGGUCAGCCCCCUCCGGGCGCCCCCAGCUCCCCUGCCCUGCGCGGUCAGCCCCCUCCGGGCGCCCCCAGCCCAGGCCCUGUGCCAUGACCCCGACGGAGGCCGGGACAGAAAGCUCAGAGGUCGCAAGCAUUGUCCUUUCUUCCUUCCAGCUCUGCCAGUCCCAGA